rnacentral:rRNA from 1 species
GACGAACGCUGGCGGCGUGCUUAACACAUGCAAGUCGAACGAUGAAGCCGGAGCUUGCUCUGGUGAAUUAGUGGCGAACGGGUGAGUAACACGUGAGUAACCUGCCCUUGACUCUGGGAUAACUGAGGGAAACUGUAGCUAAUACCGGAUACGACCCUCGGAGGCAUCUCCUGGGGGUGGAAAGAAUUUCGGUCAAGGAUGGACUCGGGGCCUAUCAGCUAGUUGGUGAGGUAAAGGCUAACCAAGGCGACGACGGGUAGCCGGCCUGAGAGGGUGACCGGCCACACUGGGACUGCGACACGGCCCAGACUCCUACGGGAGGCAGCAGUGGGGAAUAUUGCACAAUGGGCGCAAGCCUGAUGCAGCAACGCCGCGUGAGGGAUGACGGCCUUCGGGUUGUAAACCUCUUUUAGCAGGGAAGAAGCGAAAGUGACGGUACCUGCAGAAAAAGCACCGGCUAACUACGUGCCAGCCGCCGCAGUAA